UUCUAAAUGAUUAUAUCAAUUAUCAUUUUAACUGAGGAAGUAUAUGCAGGACAAAAUAAAAAAUUAGGAAUUCUUCGUUUAUGAUUUAAGAA
rnacentral:snoRNA from 1 species